UGGCUGUCAGGAAACAGACUGAGCUGAACAUCAACAGUCAGCGUGUAUGAUUUAUUGUCCCAUGAUAGGACUAAGCACAAAAGCAAUCAUUCAGUCAACAAUGUGAGCACAGUAAAUGUUCAGUGAAAACAGACAGAGCUGCAGCAGACAGGAGACAUGGUGGACACACCUUUACCUGAUUACAGUCGACCAGUGUCAACGGACGAAUCAUUUUAUUCGAGGACUUUGUCCCUGAAGAUCUCUGCACACUGAGAGGAGCUGACUCGUUCACGCACACGACAGUGUUUACUGCUGGUUUAAAGAAUAUCAUUCUCAGAGGUCCAGUGUGCCUCCACUGCCACGUGAUCUUGUGAACAGUGCUGCGUCCUCAGCUGAUGAUAUUCCAGCUAAAAUGGGUCAAACCAUUUUUACUUAUGACUGUGUUCCCAUGGCUGCAGUUUGUGCUGGCGGUGUACUGGUUGUUUGCUGUGUGAUAGCUGUUGUCGUCUGGUAUAAAUGUAUACGUGCCAAACCUGAUUCAUGGAGGAAAACAUCACAUGAAAGUGAAGUACAAAGGAUGAAGACCGAAGAACAGGAGAACAUUGCACAGGUGGUUUCCAGCCUACAAGAACUGAUAAAGGACCUGGAGGCACAGAAACAUCAAGUCAAGGGAGAACUGGAGGAGGUGGAGGCAGACAGAGAAGAGAACGAGAGGCAGCUUCAGGCAGUGGAGGCAGAAAUAACAGAGAGAGAAAAGGUAUUUGACAAACCAGAGAGGUUAUUGAGAGAUAAAGAAAAUCUACUGCAGGCUCAGUGGAAACUGGACGAGACAAAGAGGAACAUAGAGAGACGGAUACUGAACAUAGAGAAAGUGCUGGAGCCAGUGGAGAUACAGGUCAGUAGAUUGAACAGGAGGAGAGAUGUCUAGGUAUGGAUAGAUUAGCCAAACACAAGGCAAAUUAGAAAUCACCAAAAGGUGAACAGAUACAGCUCACAAACAUUUUAUUGAUGCACCAGGAAACUGGCUUCAGUGUCAAUAUUCAGAUGAGUUAAGUCAUGCUUACUGGGAUGGUUGAAAAAAUUUGAUGUAAAGUGAAAUUUUAGAAAAGAGGGUUAUCACUAAGUGCAACUGAAUUACAUUUUUUUUUUUUUUUUUACAAUCAUUAACUAUAAACUCUAAACAACAUUACAAUAACAGCUGUCUGUUGUGGACCAUACCAUUAACAAAAUUCACAUUGUUUCCACAGAAUAUGCAGCCAAUGAUUUGCAGUUUCUAAACUGCUGAAGUUCAGGUCAAGUCCUUUUAUUGUCAUUGUAAACAAAUACAAUGGAAUUCAACACACAGAAUAAAACAGAACCCAUUUAAAAGUAAUAAAUAAAUGGGAAAGGAGGGGAUAGUUUUCUUUACAUUCAAGCUUAUCCAAAACCAAAUUUAUGGAUCUUUCUCGUCUUAUUUAAAGUUAGUAUAACAAACAACUGAUAAUUCUUCUUGACUGAAUAAUAUCAUAAGAAUAUCCGAGAAAUGUAUAAAUUGUGUAAAGUAGACAAUUCUGAUUCCAAUCUGUACUGCCUUUUCUACUAUAUUUGUGUAUUACUGCAGCAAUUUGACCAGUGUUUUUUUUUUUUUUGUUUGUUUGUUUUCACUCAAUGCAAAAAACAUUUUUUUUCAUGCAGGUACAACUAACACAUGACAAGUAAUGCAGCUUUUGUAUAAUGCCAUCAGAUGUUUGUAUUUUGAUAGUCAUUAUUGAUAACAUGUUCGUCUUGGACAGAAAACAGCUAAAAAAUUGAACUAACUGUGUGAUGUCAGUGUGUUGCUGUGUUAAGAGUUUAGAAAAAGUAUCUUGUUACUAACUGUAAAAUAACAAUACUAAUUGAGUGUAUGUAAAAAUGCAUUUAGGGAUAAGAUUUGCACAUUUGCAUGGUGAUACAAAAUGUUAAAGUCAUGAUCUGAGCUGCUGUGUGAUUUGCAUUUGUAAUGUCACAGUUCAGAAUUUGCUAUUUUCUCUGAUUGUGAGAAUCAAAUAAAAUUUGAUUUUAACAUGU